rnacentral:misc_RNA from 1 species
GAUGAAGAACGCAGUGAAAUGCGAUACUUGGUGUGAAUUGCAGAAUCCCGUGAACCAUCGAGUCUUUGAACGCAAGUUGCGCCCGAAGCCAUCAGGUUGAGGGCACGUCUGCCUGGGCGUCACAUAUCGUUGCCCAAUGCCUAUUGCAGUGCAAUAGGAAUUUCUAGGGCGAAUGAUGGCUUCCCGUGAGCGUUGUUGCUUCGCGGUUGGUUGAAAAUCGAGUCCUUGGUAGGGUGUGCCAUGGUAGAUGGUGGUCGAGUUAGAACGAUACCGAUCAUGUGCAUGCUCCCCAAAAUAUGGCCUCUAUGACCCACACGCGUCUUUUGACGCUCAUGACGAGACCUCAGGUCAGGCGGGGCUACCCGCUGAAUUUAAGCAUAUCAAUAAGCGGAGGA